UGGUAGACUGUAGCCCCUAUCACAGACCCAAUUGUCUAAAAUUGACUAUUUAUUUUAGGGAUAAGGUAUAAAUAUAAAAUUUUAAAGUGUUUAAUGUACAAAAUUAAAGAAAUCAAUGUAAAUGUUAUGAUGUAUUAUAAAUAAAUAAAAUAGAGUCAUAUCUAAUUAAGAGUCUUGUGCUAAUAUUUUGAUUGUACACCUUAAUCGACAGAUCUAGUAUUAACUACUAUGUUUCAAGGAAUUAACUAAAAAAAUUAUGUCAUAAAAAGAACCAAGUUAUUUGAGGCACACCCUAACCAUCAUGGCCGUUACUGCACAACCAUAAUUCUUAUUGUCUUGUCUCAAAAUUCACACUUUUUUCUAGAUGAAUUAUUGCCAUAAUGUCCAACAGUGGGGAAGACUUUCUACAACCUUUCAAGAAGUAAAAUAUUAUUAAUUAAAUAAAACCAACAUAGUAUAUAACACUGUUCAAAACAAAUUUGGUGUCAUCUUAAAAAAAGAAAGUCAGAAACAUGACUACUAAUGUUUAACCUUACAUAAUUGUUCAUAACAACCAAAAAAGAAGAAAACAAGUGUUUGUGAAACAAAUGUCAACAUUUACUAAAUUGGUUUUUUUUAUUUUAAAUGUCGAUAUUUUUUAUUUUUUUAAGUUUUUAAAUUAAAAAAAGUAAUUGAUUUAAUAUAUUUUAAAUCACACAAGAUACAAUUUUAUGAUAUAAAAUUAUUUAUAAUUAUUUAUAUGUAAUUAACUAAAUUAAAAAUAUAAAUUUUUUAUAAAGUUGAAAGCUAAAUUUUUACGACAUUUUAUUCUAACUUAAUUUAUGAAUGUUAAUCAUUGUAUAUUAUUAUAUCAGAUUAAAAAAAUGAAAAGAAGAUAACAAAACUAUUGAUUUUUAAAAUAGAGAUCAAUUUCAACGAUCGAUAAAAAUAUAAAAACUAAAAUUAUAUAUAAGUCAAUUUUUUUUAUAAAAGUCUUAUAGCUAACGAUGUAUAUAACAAAACUAACAAUUAGGUGAGUGGUGAAAAAGAUAAAUUUAAAGGUUUUUUUUUUUUGGCAAAUGUUACCGUUAAACGUUAGUUACCGAUUUAUAUUUUCUGUUAAAUUCGUCUAUUUGGCUGCAUGCGUGUAUCGUGUCAAUAUAAGAGAGCAUGUACAUUGAGAUCAUUUCAUCUGACUUCGUUUUCUCUCAUUUAUCAUUUCAAAAAAGUCCUGUGUGCAUGAUGUCAAAUUUGAAACACUUUAUAGUACCUCAUAUUUUUUCUAAUAUAUUUUUGGUUUCUUUUAUACCAAAGUAUUUAAAAGGAAAAAUUAUUAAUAAACAUCCAGAUAUUUAGAUGACAAUUUGAAAGAAAAAAAAUAGUGGAGAACAAUGUGAUAGAUAGAAUAAAAGAGAUAUAAAAAGAAAUUAAAAAUGUUGAAUGGAAGUAUGAAAUGAUGGAUGUCCAAAGUGUAUCAUUUUUGUUUUAGAAAUUGGAUUGGUGUUUUUAUGUCUAAGAUUUUUUUUAUAGUUGAAUGUUAGUGGUUAAUUUGUUAGUAAAGAGAGAGAAAUAUUAGUAGUAGGAAUCAAAUCUUUAACCUCUUUUUUUAUAUUUUUUUUGUCUCUUAACUCACCAAUCGAACACUUAAUUACGCAGAAUCAACAAAUUUUUAAGGUGAAAACUAUAUCUAAUACCAUAUUACUAUUCUUGAUCAGGGACAACUCUACUUUAUAGAGAGUAGGGUUAGAGCUCCUACUAUGUUUUGAUUCUUCAUUAUAGAUAGAUAGACAAAUAGAAACAAAAAUAGUUUAAUUGACUAAUGUAACCUAUACAAAUCCAAAAUUGUAAGGAUUCAAUUACUUAAGUUUGUUCUUGAUAGAAGUUAUUGAUGCGAUAAAUAGAUAGAAAAGUAUAAUAAUAUAAAAAUUAAAUUGAUAAUGAGAAUCUAAUUACAUUAAGGGUUAUAUAAGAUUUAUAUAAUCAAUGAAGAAGAAACUAAUAACAAGUGUAACUAAUUAAUGUGACUAACUAUUCUAACUAACAAGAGUGUAUCUAAUACUAUACACUAUUCGAGAGAUAAAUCUUUCUGACAUAUCUUAGAUCGGUUCAUUAAGAGGUUUCCAAUAUAUAUUUUUUUAUAACAAUGAUACACAUAUACUCCUAAUUUUUUUGUACUCAUUCAACAUUUCAUUUUCUCUUUAUGUCUCUCUUUCUAUCACAUUAUCAAUAUAUUAUAUUUAGCACGUUACUUUUUUUAUCUCUUUAUUUUUCAAAGUGUAUACACUUCUAUAGGUGUACAGUAAACAUUUUUCAUUUUUCUAUAUGCAUUUUGGUGAUAUUUUGGUUUUAUAAAAAAAACAAAAAUAACGUCAUAUUUUGGUAUUAUCAAUAAAUAUUAUUGAUGGCUUUGAUCCGGUCGUGUCCACUGACCAGAAAUAAUAAAUAAGACAGCCAUUAGAAACGUUAAUUCCUGAUGCUGCAUAUGUGCCCUAAUGUCUUUGUCACCUACCAUUAAUAAAAACACUUUCGAUACAGCGAGCUAACAAUAUUAAUUAGUUCAUAUGAACUCCAUGUGAAUAUCACAUGUCUACAUGGCAGUCAGCAAGUAUGCCAAUAACAAUAUUGUUCACAAGUCAAACCUAAGACACAAUGACACAUACCUCAACCGUAUAUACCAAAAUGUUUUUUUGACGAUGGAAUUGAUGGAAUUGAUGGAAGAGUCUCUGAGAGGCUUACCAAGCACAUUGUAUACUUGGAAAUUUGAAUGUAGUACAAAACUGUGUGCUACUUUGGAUUUUAGUGUUGUCUUUACUCUCUCAUGCACUCAUUAACUUUUUAAUGACUUAAUGAAAACUUGUUUUAAGUACUAAUUAACACAACUAGAAGGUUGCAAGUUUUACAAUUUCCUAAGAGCUUUGAUCACUAGAUAUAUACUUAACGAGUGUGUUUAAUUGGUGAAAUUAUUACAAGAAAGGAUAGAAUAUGAGUGGAUUUAUGGCAAAGAGGUGUAAUAAGAGAUAUACAUCAACAAUAUGUUGUGUUUUGUUUUGAAGUUGUUGAAACUCUUAAUCACCUAUUUUUUAGGAAAAGAAAAUUUGGAAAUCAAUUUCCAAAAAUGACUUUAUUGGUAUCCCUAAUAUUUGAGGAGUGAAGUGAUAGAUAAUAUUGUCUUUUAAUGCAUUAGUGAAAGGAAAAAUAUGUUUAUCAUGUGUUUAGUCUCGUUUGAUUGACCACUACUUCUGUAUUUGGUUGGAAACGAGUAACAUUUUAUUUGCAGAAAAAGUGACAAAACAAAUAUGAUAGAGGUGACUGGUAAAUUAUGCUAAUUUGUAUUUUUAGUGUUUUAGAUGAGUUAAAAUAAAAGGUGCUCUCACAAUAAAAUUGUGUAUUUUUUAUUGCAAAAUCAUUAACAACCUAUUUAUAAUUAAUCUUCUAGAUUUCAAAUAAAUUUUUAAUAAUUUUAAUUUUAAAAAAAUGUCUCAAAUGACGAUAACGAUGAUUAGUAUUAUUAUAAUGUACAAUAUGAAAAUAAUUAAAUAUUUCUUGUAAUUUUUUAAUUAUUCAAAUAUAAUUUUGUCAUCAAUAUCAUGAGAACUAUCGUGUUUUAGAUAAUUAUGAAGAUGGUUGGAAGAAAAUUUUAAAUCAUUAUAAGAUAAUUAUUUAAACAUUUUCAAUAUAAACAAAAUUACAACAAUCUUUGGUCAACUAUUCAUAUCUCUAGCUAUAAUAAGUGAACUACAUACUUAUGUACCAUAUAUAAAAAAAAUGACGAAGUCAAUAGAUUCUUCAAGAGACUCAAUGUGCGUGCAUAUUCAUAUAAAUUUUUAUUAUAGUAUUUUUUCUACAAAGUUUUAUUUUAAUUUAGAAAUUUUAAGCGUUAUAAACUUUAACUAAAGAAACAAUAAAAAAUAAUUAAGUACAUCAUUAAAUUUAAAUUACAAAAAAAAUCAAUUUUAAUCAACUGUGUAUUUUCUAUAGUAUUUUCAAUUCAAUUCAUUUUUCAUACAUAUUUUAAAAAUUAUUUAUUACAAUUAUUUUAACUUUAUAUGUAUCAUGAAAAUCCAUCCUCUUUUAUUUUUCAUGUAUUAAAUAUGAUUUUUAAAGUCAUGCAUGUUAUAUGAACAUCAAUAUUAUAUACCAUAGUAAACUUUAACUCUUAUUAAAUUUAUAUAAUAUGUAUAAUAUGGUAAGUAAUUGUAUUAUAUAUAUAAAUAGUGUAAGUGAAAAUAAAAAUUAAUUUUUGUUUACCUUUUUAUCUAUAUAAUUAUUAUUUUUUAUUAUUGAUUUAUUAUUAUUUAUUAUUUUUAUUAUUGAUGUUUUAAAUAUGAUGUGAACUUGUAUUGAUAUUAUUAUUUGAUAUUUUUAAUAGUGUACCGUAUAAAGAAAUAAAUUAAGAUCCAACCCAAAAUAAAUAAAAAUAAUGAAGAAAAAAAAUCGGUAAUAUCCUAAGAAUCGAUACCGAGUACCUGCAGAUGCCGUUGUUUUGGUCAUCACCUCCAGGUUUGGCCGUUAUCUCUACUUUCUCUUUUAAAAACUCCUCUUUUCUUAUUGAAUCAGCCGUCAUGAAUCCAUCCGCUAACAGUCUAAACAUCGGUAGACUUUUAUGCCCGUAAUGGAUUAAUAGACUGUGUCUGAACGAACAAUUUAUGCCCGUAACCGUUCAAGAAAGAGGUUCGAUUUAGCAGUUGAUGUUAGAUCUGGUUAAGAUGUAAGUUGUAGCGGUGUGGUUAGCAUGUAAGUUGUAGCGGUGUCUGUGUAUCAGUUCUAUUAUGUUAUCGCUUGUGUAUCACAGAAUGAUAAAUAUAGUAUCAACUAUUUCAUCUAACCCAUCACGUCCAUAAUUUUUGUUUUUC
rnacentral:lncRNA from 1 species